UCGGGUCGCCGCCUUCGCCCGUCCCGACCUGUCCAGUGCCGGUCGCGGUCGGAGGAUCCGCGCGCCCGGCGCCGGCCGAUGGAUCCCGAGGCGGCGGGGGACGAACUGUCCCGCUUGCGCUCGCUGUUCGUGGCGUGCGACGCCAACGGCUCGGGCCGCAUCGAGCGGGAGGACUUCGCGGCGCUGUGCGCCGAGCUGCGGGUGCGGCCGGCCGAGGCCGAGGCCAUCUUCCAGCGCCUCGACAGCGACCGCGACGGGGCCAUCACCUUCCCGGAGUUCGCCCGUGGCUUCCGCGGCGCCACGCGGCGGCAGCCCGGCGGCGGCGAGCCUGCGGGCGAGGAGGGCGAGGGGGAGGAGACGGCCGCGUGGGUCGCCGCGGGGCUGGAACAGCCCUGGAAGGACUUCGAGGUGCGGCUCGGAGACGAGGCGAGGUACAUCCCCAGACAAGAGCAGGUCAGUGUUCUGUAUCAGAACAUACACAUAGCGGAACCAAGAUUAAUCCAGUCAUAUGAGCGUGUAAUUAAGAACUUCAUCCGAGAGAUCAAACUUCAAAGCACAGAGAUGGAAACUUUGGCCAUAGCAGUAAAAAGAGCUCAGGAGAAAGCAGCAGUUCAGCUAAGUGAGCUAGAGGAAGAGAUGGAACAGCGGAUACAAGCUGCAGAGCAUAAAGUUAAAAAGGAAGAGAAGCGAAAAGCUGAAGAAGCACUAAAUGAGCUGAAGCGUCAGUAUGAUACUGAAGUUGGGGAUCUUCAGGUGACAAUAAAAAAGCUUAAAAAGCUGGAGGAGCAAUCCAAAAAUGUAAAUCACAAGGAAGAUGUGGGUGAACUGAAAAAAAGAAUGCAUGAUAUGUUCCUGGAAAAUCAGAAACUUAAGAAAGAUCUUUUAGAAGCACAGACAAAUAUAGCUUUUCUACAGAGUGAAUUAGAUAGCUUGAAAAGCGAGUAUGCAGAUCAGUCUUUGAACACUGAGAGAGACCUAGAAAUUAUCCGAGAAUAUACUGAAGACAGAGAUAAUCUGGAAAGACAAAUUGAAAUACUGCAAUCAGCUAAUAGAAAGUUACAUGACAGCAAUGAUGGUUUAAGAAGUGCACUUGAAAACAGUUUCAGCAAGUACAACAGAUCAUUGCGGUUGGCAAACACCUCACCAGGAAGUACCAAUUCUAGAAGCAGCCCUAAAUUUAAUGGUGGACAUUCUCCUUUAAAUCCACGGUAUGACAGGUCAUCUCAUUCGUCUUGUGUGGAUGACGAUUUUGAUUCUUUAGCCGUUUGCGAUCCUAUGCAAAGGAUAAACUGUGAAGUUGACAGCUUACCUGAGAGCUGUUUUGACAGUGGUUUGUCUACCUUGAGAGAUUCAAAUGAGUAUGAUUCAGAAGUGGAAUACAGGCAUCAAAGGAUUUUUCAAAGGUCACAGUGUAUGCAAGAAGGCUUUGGUGGUGAUGCUUCUGAUACUGAUGUUCCAGAGAUCAGGGAUGAAGAAGCGUACAGUCCUGAUAACAGUACUGCAGUAUUAGACUGGAAGCCCUCACGACCAGUAAGUCGAAGCAGCUCAAUUGCUUCAACAAGGAAAUACAUAUCUGCUCUCACUCCCCAGACGGAUUAUUUUUAUUUUCAGUCAGAUGCAACCGAAUCCACUCUAAAAUACCCCAGUUCAGAGAAGGCUUACAAGAUUGUUCUUGCUGGAGAUGCAGCAGUGGGAAAAUCCAGUUUCCUUAUGAGACUUUGCAAGAAUGAAUUUCGAGGCAAUACCAGUGCAACUUUGGGUGUGGAUUUUCAAAUGAAAAGACUAAUUGUUGAUGGAGAACCUACAGUGCUACAACUGUGGGACACAGCAGGGCAGGAGAGAUUCCGAAGUAUUGCUAAAUCAUACUUCAGAAGAGCAGAUGGUGUCUUGCUACUAUAUGAUGUAACAUGUGAAAAAAGCUUUCUUAACGUGAGAGAAUGGAUGGAUAUGAUUGAGGAUGCAACUCACGAGAAUAUUCCAAUUAUGAUGGUGGGAAACAAGGCAGAUCUCCGUCAAGCUGUUACAGAACAAGGGCAAAAAUGUGUGCCUGUAAACUAUGGAGAAAAGCUGGCUAUGACUUAUAAUGCGCUAUUCUGUGAAACAAGUGCUAAAGAUGGAUCUAAUAUUGUAGAAGCAGUUCUUCAUCUUGCUCGUGAAGUGCGAAAACGAAGUGAUAAUCAAGAUGAUACGAGACUCCGGUUUCACUUGUCUGAAGUAAUAUAAUAUAAUGAAACGAGCUCAGAAUGAGUGCUGCAGUAGUCACAGCAUACAACAUUGCAGUACAUGUUGUUGUCUGUACCUGCUUGUUUCCUUAUGGCUUUUUGAGGCCUUCAGUUACGUGUUGAGGAAACAUUUCUUAAGAAAACUCCAAACCAUUAAAAGGCUGCCCAGGUCCAUGUAAACCCUAAGUUUAGGGCAUGAAGCAGAAUGUCCUCUGUCGGGAGAAGACAGUGGCAGGUGCAUGGGGUUCUGGUGUACUUUCUCAAAAGCUGGUGAGUUAGAAUGUGUUUUGUUUUGGGAGUUGGGGUUUGUUUCAGAAUGGAGAAGUAUACCCUACAUCUGAUCUGACACAGCUUGGAGGUGAAAGAAGCAUUUGUGUGGACUGUUACCAUUCAAAAUUCCAGAGAGAAUGUAACACCUGUUGUAUUCAUUGCUGAAAUGAAUUAAUGAUCCACCCUGCCUGUUUGUUUAGACUUUAUCAUUAUUAGUAUUACAGAGUGGUAGGGAUUGUAAUUUUCCCCUUGUUUUUCAAAUGUCUUCCAUUCAGUCAAUAAUUGAGGGAUUGUAAUAAUACAUAGAAGUCUGAUUUAAUGGAUUUUUUAAUCAUUUUAAAAGUUUUAAACUAUGUGAAAGAAUUGCUGCACAUGCACAAGCAUCUGUAUAAGCUGUUCAUUAAAAGAAGACCCUGAAAUGAACAGCAACCACUUACCUUAAUGAGAAUUCCUUUACCCGAUUUUGGGAAAGUUCUGAGAAACUCAGCAGGGGGUGGUAGCUUUAAGUGUCAGCAUCUCUAAAAACUGAGUUAUUAUUGCUUAAAAUAGUUCCAAAGAGUUCUACGGUAUAGUUAAAAUUGUAGGUAUUUAUACAGUUAUCUGUCAUGAUCCAGUUCUUCUUAGCUUUCACUAAUUUUGAUCAGAAUGGGAUCUUUUCAGAACCAGCAGGUUUGUCUCCUCUGUAUCUAUUAAUAACACAUCUCCAGGCUAGCUCUGUAAAUCAACCUUGGAUAAAGUUUUAUGGACUGAUUGGAAACCCAUAUGACUAGCAGCAGUUACUGCAUUUUAUCAGCAUUGUAUUUGAACACUGUAUAGUCUGUAUUGUGUUACCUGUUGUAUAAAAUGUAGAGUUGUCAAAAACAGGAUGAUUCGUAAUUUACAAAAAAAAAGUUUAAAGUAGGAAGAGCAGUGUUUUUAGGCAUCCUUUCAAACUCUUACCAGAGCAGUUAAUCCUCAGGUAAUUAUCUGGAAGUUUGUUCUUAACAAGAGAGAAGAAUCUAGUACUGGAAUGAAUAAGACAUUUUAUUUCACAGUAUAGUAAUUUAGCUCUAAAAGAGAAACAUAUUUGGUAGUUUGGGUUUUUUUUAAGUACUAAGAGAAUCUUCACACACUACUUUAUUCCAUGUGGGAGACUUCAGGGUUGUAGCAUCUUCCCACACAGCAGUACAAGAGGCCUCACUGUAGUCCUGAGACUUAUCUGGAGCUGAUGGCAGAGAACAAAGGACGCACAGGUGUAUGAGAAAUAUGCUUAGUCGCAUACAUUUUGUCUGCUAUUAACCCUGUACUAUUUAAACAAGAAAGUUACAGUUCUAGUUAGCUUUUCUGAGGAGAAAAACCAUGUUGAACUGACUGCAUUGAUGAGGGCGUCUUCUGUGUCCUUCUCUCUCUCCUUUAGUGAAAUUGAAGUAGUAUUAAUUGGAUUGUAUUUGCUGAUAGUUCUUCCUGCAGCAGUAGGGAGAAGAGAGGAAGAUGAUCCAGUGCUUGGUUUCUAAAGUGUGACCUUACAACAUGUAGGUACUUGCAUUUUCUCUGGAUAAGAAGGUCAUGAUUAUAAGUUUUCUGAAAAAUCCAUGUACUAAGAGCCUCAAAAAUAGUCAAGAGACAGAAGAGCUAACUAAAACUUUCAUUCAAAUAAAAGGGAGAGUUCCUUGGGCAUUCCCCCAGUGAGGUCUCUCAACUUGACAGGGGUCAUAGCCUCUUUUAUCCACUCUGCCCAAAACUCAGGUCCCUCCCCGUUUCUCCAUUGAGUGAGGUAUUCCGGGGUUACAGACUUUCUGACAUGCCUACUACAUGUCCCCCAUUACAUGCUUAUUAAGGGCUUUGAGGGUCCCCAGCAUUUUCAAAAUGGAGGUUACUGCAUAUUUAUCCCUUGCUGCUGAUUGGUCUCCAUGUUCUGGGCACUGUAUUGUCUCAUGCUGGGCAACUACAUAACUUUUCUAUACCCUACUACUAAGUUAGCUGUGACUACUACAAACUUUGCAAGAACAUUCUACUUAUUCCUAAUAAUCCUCCCUUUUUUUUAAAAUUAUGUUCUUGCAAAAGGGAGUACCAUUUUGUUAAUAGUUGUCUCUUGAUCUACUUCAAUAUCUAAGGUUAAAGUUUCUUGAGAAUGAGUAGUUGGUAAUUCUCAUUUACACACUGUUUUCAGAACCAUUAUUUUCUGUCCUUUAAUUGCCAUUUCAGGGUCAUUAGGCAUAGCUACUGUUUGCAUCCUCUUCAUCACAUAUGCAGUAAGUUGCAAAAGACAAGGAAUCAUACAAGGCAGGAAAAUUAAGGUAGCUUGCCUGCAAAAAACAAAGAAUAGUAUUUUCUUUAUUGCUGGUCCAACUGCAAGCCAUGAAAACAUAUCUAUGCCCCACUCCUUCCAAGAUUCAUCUGGGACAUGGACUAACUUUCGGAUGUGUUUUGUUAUUCAUUUUACUGUUUUUCCAUUGUCAUUGAUUUACAGGCAACAAUUUGAGUUAUUUAAUUUUCCACAUACUCCACUUUCCACUGCUAACAAAAAAUCAAAAACCAUUUGGUGUUUAGAGUUGGCAGUUCUCAUUUGGGUUACUUGGUCUGCCAGCAAGUCUAAGACAUUAGCUGUUUGAUUGGCAAUAGUCUCUAAUAUAGCUUGGAGUCAAAUUAUAUGAUUUAAAUUAUAGAUGGGCUCUCUUGUUCCAUGAAUCAAUUCACGGGGGUUCCGUGAUAUUGUUAUCCUGUGGCUGUUAGCUGGGACAAAUGGGUUCGCACACAUUUUAUUGAUAUGGCUUCUGCCUUAUAUAUGGUAGGGUAAGAACUUGCAAGGAAGAGGGCGUAACUGAGGAGGAGUAAAGGAGGAGCAUGCAAAAUAGGAGGAUGACACAACCGUAUAGGGAAGGGUUCUACAAUGCAGCAAAGAUUUACCAGUGGGAGGGCAGGGUUCAAGACCAUGAGGGAUAAGGGAAUUUUCCAGAACUUACAGUCCACUGUAUAUAUCUAUAGGGGAUUACACAAUAAACUGAGAAACAUAAUGUGAAAUCUGAAAUGCUUAUUCUUAAACGGUUCAUAUCCAUUCAUACGAUGGUCUCAUCUUCGCAGGCAAGCUUGGGCUCAACACUUCUCUUCCAGUCUUCAUAUUCAUCUUCUCCCACAUUAACCCAACAAGGAUCCUGAAAUACGUAUAGCGGUGGGCCGUUAGGAAAGGAAAAUACUCUUUAUUUUCAAGUCCCAGAAGAUGAGGAACUCUGGGAUAGUCCCUUGUCCAGUGUAAACUGGGCACUUAAAGGACACUGUUGGAUCAACAGUGACCAACACACAUAUAGAAGAUUGCCUGAAAAUUGGACAAGGAAUUUGUUUUGUAGGAUGUAUUAAACCCUUAUUCUUUUUUUUAAGCCAUAUACAGUUUGGGAACUAAAGUAUAUGAUGAUUAAAAAAAAAAAUGAGAACUUAAUACCUCCCCUACAGGAGGAAGAAAACAAAAAAUGGAAAAAGAAUGAGUGGACUUCUCAAAGGAUUAUUGAGCAUUAUGGACCAGCUAUUUGGAACUUUGAGCUUUUGCAAUUUCUUCCCCUAGUGCUAAAAAUCUGUUUCCUUCUAUUUGACCAGCGCACAGGUGAUAACAAAGAAACAGGAUCAAAAGUUUUAUCUUCAUUUGACUGUCGAUAGGAAGGUCCAUUUGAGUAGACAUUAAGUAGAUGCUCAGUGGGUAGAUGCAGGAACUUCUUCCUAAAUCAACACAGACGCUUCUACUCACGGUUUCUGUGUAGUAUAAGUUUAGGCUUUCCUUCUUUCUCUUCUAGUUGUGAAGUCCAGAACUCUGGUGCUCUAGAAGGUUUCACUUGUGUAUGGUGAGUCCACCCAUCCUCAGCAGUCUUAACUGCUCUGUCUGUGGUCAAUAACACCUAAUAUGGUCUGCGCCACUUUCCCACCAGUGGUGUUUGCAGUCCUUAGCUAGAACCCAGUCUCCUGGACAGAUGUCAUGAACUGCGAAAUCCAAGGGUAGAGUUUGUGCCAGCUGGGCUUCCUGUUGAAGAGAUUUUACAACAGACAGUAUUCUGGCCACAUGCUGCUUUAUGAACAAAUUUCUAUUCUGCUUUCUUUUUGUAACCCAACCGGAUAAGGGAUUCCAGACAUUAUCUCAGAUGGAGAUAACUUAAGACUUUCUCGAUGUUUAGCUCUUAUCCUUGCUAAAGCUAUAGGUAAAAGCUGAGUCCAGGGCAUUUUUGUUUCCAUUACUAAUUUUAAAAGAUAUUUCUUGAUCUCUUCAUCCAUAUAUUCUACUCAUCCAGAACUUUGAGGGUACCAUGGAAUAUGUAAAGCAAUGUCACAAAAGGCUCAAUGUCACAUACAUUUUAAGAAAGGCCUCUGCUAGUGCUCAGGAGCCUCAAUGACUCCCUUCAUGAAGUUGUUUUGAUAUUUGUAAGGCCAAUGCCUUCGGUAUCCAUUGUUUACCCGUUUUUGUGAACCAAUUUUCCCCUCUAUUUUCUGCUCCACUGUUUUUAAUUGUUUCCAAUUCUUGUGGCAAGAAGGACAUUCCUUCUGGCAAUAAUUGAGUCACUGGUAGGAGGGGAAAUACUUCAGAUACCUCAAGCAAAAGUGCUUUUUUCCAGGCCUCUUCAUCUGCUAAUCUAUUACCAGUCACUUCUGCAGAAGCGUUUGAUGUCCCAUUUGAUGUUCUUUAACAGGGACCACUGCUAUUUGUUGAGAUAAAUCCAUGACUUUCAAUAAUCUCUGUAUCAAAUUCUCAUAUGCUAGUGCCUUGCCUCUACAGGUUAAAAGUCCCCUUUCUUUCCGUAAUUUCUCAAACACAUAUGCAUAUUUGGAAUCCAUAUAGACAUUAACUGCUUUUCUGUGGUGUAUUUCACAAGCUCGUAUCAGAGCUAAUAGUUCAGCUCUUUGUGCUGACUAGAUAUAAGGUAAUCUACCACAGUCUUUUAACUGUUCUUCUUCAAUUAUAGCAUAUCCAGUAUAACGCUUCUCUUCUAUCACCUAUGAGGAUCCAUCAAUAAACACAUUUUGUCGUCUAGAUAGUGGACCAUCUGUUAGGUCAAUUCUAGCUCAUGUUUGAAGACCUAUUACCUCAAUGCAAUCAUCAACUAUUUCAGGGUUUUGUUCAUCCCUGUUUAAACAAGAAGCUGGACUGAAACUUUUUCUACCUUUGACUUCUAAAUCAUCUUACUCCAUUAGACAAGUUUCAUACUAUAACAAUUGUGCAUUAGUCAUCCAUUUAGAGCCUUUUCCUGUUAAUAAUGCUUUAACUUGGUGUGGGACUCUUAACUACUAAGUGUCCUUCAUUAGUUAGCUUUCUAGCCACAAGCACCAUUUGAGCUGUGGCUGCAUGACUUUGAAGGCAAUGUGGCCAUCCCGUAACUACUAUGUCAUAAUUUAGAGAAAUAGGCCACUGGCCUAUGAGAGCCACCAUGAUCUUGUAUUAACACUCCUUUUGCAUGUCCCUGGUUAACAUCUACAUAUAAUGCAAAUUCUUUGUUCAGAUCUGGAAGAGCUAGGGCAGGAGCUUGAAUUAAUUUACUCUUUAGUUACUGAAAUCUCCUUUUCCCUUCAGGUAUCCAAAUAAUUACUUCUGGAUUUUCUCGAGUCAACAAAUCAUACAAUGGUCUGGCUAUUAUUGAAAAAUCCUCUGUCCAAGUCCUACAAAAUCCCACUAAUCCUAAAAAUUCUUUCUUCAUUUUUGGAAGAGGAAUUUCCAAGAUUUCUUUAACCGUUUCUGGAUCUACACAUUGUGAUCCAUGCAUUAUCAUAUGUCCUAAAUACUUAACUUCUGUCUCUACCAUUUGAUCUUUCUUUUCAGAAAUUCUUAGUCCUUUUUCAGCUAGAAAGUUAAGCAAUUUCACAGUAGUGUCUUCUACUUGUAAAAUCAUCUACAUAAUGCAAUAACCUUACUUGUGGAGGUAAUGAGAAUUCAUUUAAAAGAUUUUUUAAAGCUCGUCCAAAUAAAACCGGUGAUUCAGUAUAUCUUUGUGGCAGUGUGGUCCAAGUAAGUUGCUGUUUAAUUACUUUCCCUCCUUCUUCUUGUUCCCACUCAAAGGCAAAGUAUGGCUUACUAUUGUCUGUAAUUGGACAACCAGAAUGCAUCCUAACACAGAAUAAUAACAGUGAGAAGAGAGAAUUUGAUUGAGAAAAGUAUGAGGAUCAGGAACCGUAGGGUGUCUAGGCUUAUCUAUUUCAUUAAUUAUUCUUAAAUCUUGAACCAUUCGGUAACUUCCAUCUGGUUUCCUCACUGGUAAAAUUGGGGUGUUAUAAGGAGACAUACAUGGUUCUAACAAGCUAGCUUGUAAUAACGGUUGGAUUAUAGGUUUUAACCUUUCUCUUCCUUCCAUUGAAUGAGGUGCUGCUUCUGGGAUACAAUCUGAUCCUGAUGCCUUAAAGUAAUCUGUUCUGUAUUUAAUUUUCCAUAUUUCCCAGAUACUGCCCACAUAUUGGGGCUUACUUUUUCAUAAGCCCCUGAUGAUAGCUUAUGGAGUGUAAUAAUUGUAUUUGCUUCAGUUUUAUCCUUCACAAUAUUAAUUUGCAUACCCACUUUUGCCAUCAAAUCUCUCCCCAGCAGAUUACAAUCACAAUUUGGAACAAAAAGGUCAUGCAUUUCAAAUUUAUUUUCUAUGUCAGCCGGUAUAGGUUCCAGUAUGUGUACUUUCUCAUCCUUCCCACUUACCUGUUGAAUAGUUAAACUUCCUUUUGAUGAUCAACCUCCUUUAGGCAUAAAAUUCAGUGUAGAUCUAGAAGCCCCAGUAUCCACUAAAAACUGCACUACCUCUCAAUCAGGGCCCAGUAGGCAGUUUAUCAAGGGUUCCAUGGUGGUGGGCUCGUAAUAUGAAGGGAACCCAUGACACCCCUAGCAAUCCAUUUCCAUUAAAUGGUGGAUCUCCUCCUCUUCUUGAUCUGUCUGCUUCUGUGGCCAUUCUUUUUUUCCAAUGUCCCUCUUUCUUACAGAUUGCACAUUGGUUCCUCCCCAACUUAGGUCGUACUUGAGCUUGAUUAGGAGAGUGAGGGCUAUUGUGAAAGGAUCUGGGGGUCCAGUCUCUCCCUUUUGCUUCCCCUUGUCCUCUCUUUCCUCCUCAUUUAGGUUGAAGAAUCUGGACCAUUACCUUAGCCUUUGUUUUGGCUUUCUCCUUGUCCUUUAUUACAUAAACUUGUGGUUUUCAUAUUAGAUCUUCUAAAGAUUUAUUCUGCUACUCUUCUUUUCUUUGAACCCUUCAUCUUAUAUCAGAUUGUGAUUGAGUGACACAUUGUACCUUCAAUGAAGUUUCAAAUGCAGGGCUUUCAGGGUCUAACCCUCUCUGUUUUCUCGAGGUAUCCCUAAGCCUUUCUAACCACUGGGUGGGGCUCUCAUCUUUCUCUUGUUGUAGAGACAUAGCUUUAGACACAUUACUCGUUUGUGGCACUGCUGUUUUUAUUGCUCUAAUUAAAUAUGUGUGAUAAAUCUCUUAGAUGACCUAACUGCACCUGGCUGUUUGGGUCCCAAUUGGAGUCUGCUUGUGGAAUAGCAUUGUCCACAACAAGACCAUUCUGUCUUACUACACCCACAGCUUGUGGGUGCUCAUCUUCCCAGGUUUGCUGUGCCUUUUGUAAAAUCAUUCACUUUUCCUGAAAUCCAAAAAAGAUUCCUAGGAAGAAAUCUCAGUCUUUCCAAGUGUAAUCUGCAUACCCUAAAUAUUCAUCUGUUCUCUCUCCUACUCCUGUAGGAUCCUCCAGGUGAAAUGAAAGCCCUUUCUUCAAUCCUGAGUUGCUAGUGGCACUAUUACAAACCUAAAACCUCCUCCUUGGCCUCCUAAUGGGACCCGUCUCAGUGGCAUUUGCAAAACUCUUUCUCCAGCAGCAUACUGUGUUCCUGCUCUUGUCUUUGGGGGAGACAGGAUUGAAUUGCUUCCCACCUCCCCGUCCUGCAGCAUCUGCAAACCUCCCUCUUUGACAGGAAAUCGAAUUCCAACCCUUGCCUUUGAAGCAGACAGGGUUGAGUUACUUCCCCCCUCCUACUUCCUGUCACCCUCCAUCCUUAGGGCACUGAGAAUUCCCCGUUCCCUUUCCUGUGAAUGACUUCGUGGUUCUGACUGUCUCCUUGAUAAGGUGGAAGCAAUACUUGCAACACAUCCCACUUUAAAUUUUUUUCCUUCUCUCUCUCACCUUCUCCCCAAUUUUUUCUUUCCCUGAAAGGACACAACUUCACAAAAGAAGUCUCUUUUGACUACAUUGUCACCACAACUCCUCUCAGUUGUUUCCAUCCCACUAUCAUCCAAAAGACACAGAGGGUCUGAAUAAGAUCCUCAUCAUGAGACCCAAAAUGCGGCCACCUAAACCCACGAGGUAGUGAGUACUUUGGCCAGUGAAAACAACAGUAUUUUACCAUUAAUUCCUUAAUCACCCCUUCUGGUGAACUUAUACUGUCCCAAAAUUCCAGCAUUUUACCCAAGGGACUGUGUGGGGGUAUACAAGGGUCAUCACCCUUUCUGCCACAUCCCUUACCUGGCUUUUUGCUGUCUCUGGGCCCUCUCUUUUUACUUCCCCCAGUUCCCGUUACUCAUUGGGUGAGAUGUCUCAGUCCUUUCCCUGACUCCUUUCCAAACCAAAACAAAUGUUCCUUUAUCCUAUUGUCCUCUCUCAUCUGUCUCUGGAUAGCCUUGGGAACCCAAUCACCCAUCUCAUUUUAGCCUCUAGUGAAAGCAACUGAUCACCAAAACUGUUGAUGCGGCGUCUUCAGCUCCAUUCAUCAGCCCCUGCCCUUGGAGGGUGGAGUCAAUCCUGGACAAGAGCCCCCAUUUAUACUGAAAAAUCCAGGUACUAAGACCUUCAAAGAUAGCCAAGAGACAGAGGAGCUAACUAAAACUUCUAUUUGAAUAAAAGGGAGAGUUCCUUGGACAAUCCCCCAGCGAGGUUUCUCAACUUGAUAGAGGUCACAGCCUCUUAAUAUAAGCUGUUACUUACAUUCCAAAAUAUUUCUCCUUCAGUGUUGUUACCUCUUGUUAACUCUAGGGCUUAAAGUGAGGCUCACUGUUCUUUGUGUCUGUCCUGAGCUACUGUGUUUGACUAUCUCUGUGGUGUUGGCCUGCAGUAAAUGAGAUGAAAUACACUUUCCUCAACCUUGUUGACAUACCUACAUGAGCAAAGCAUUUUGGUUGAAUACAGAGAAUCACAUAAAGUUGUUUGCAGGAAGAAUUUUUGGAAGUGGUUUUAUACAAUGUCCCAAGCAGAGAUGGACUUUUGCCAGCCCUAGAUCAGGUUAACUGUAGGUUUGGCUAUCUAGGCUCUGAAAAUCUCCCAGGACAGAGAUACUGUCACUGUUCUGGGCAACCUGUUCCCAUGGUUGCUCUCCCCUUCUGGAUAAACAUUUCUCUCUAUGUCCAACCUCAGUUUCCCAAGUGGCUACAAAUUAGUAGCAGUUUCCCCUCAUUAUAUUGUCUCCUUCUACUAAGAAGAGUUUAACUGUAAUCUUGAUGACUCACCCUUUUGGUAUCUGUAGAUCGCCCUUAUUGUUCUCUUGACUACUGUAAGAACAUCAGGACAACCUCUUGCAACCUCUUGCAAAUGUGAAUUUCACAUCCCAGAAUUAGCAGCAUAUGUGCAUGUGUAGUAAUUGCUUUUGUAUCUAAUAUUUUUAUCAUACGGAGAGUACCAUGUUAAUGUCCAUGCCUGUAGAGAGGCUUUUUGAAGGAUGUGAGUUCAGGGACCUGCCUUCACACCUGUUUUUCUUUCUCUGCAGGAUUAGGCCAUUGAUAUUUUGGGUACUUUUUUUUUUUUCAUUUAUUUUAAUGACCAAAAUCUAUCUUGUGUUAUUUAGCCAAACUAUAUAACCUGAGUUUCUUUUUGUAAGCUGUGUAAUUUUUUUGUAAAGCAACUUUAAUUUGAAACAGUGUUGUUUUUUAAAUAAGAUUCAGGGUUGAAAACUGUUAACUAUAACAAAGUUUUACCUUGAAUUAAAUCUAUGAUCAAUGUUUAGAAGACUUAGAAAGCACUACCAAAUGGGGAUAUAGCUAUGACUCAGUUGGAACUGGUUUUGGAAAUCCCACAAUGAUCAGCUCCACCAUGUCUUUAGUGUUCACAUAAUAACACGUUGAAUUCAUGUUAAAGCAAAAAAACUUGGAAACAUAUUUAAAUUUAGAAAUUAAAGCACGUAUUUAUACAAUGCACGAAUUUUUGCGUUGUUUUGCUUUGAAGGGCUACCUUGCCUUCAACCUGAGGGUAAAAUGGCAUACAUCAGCUUUAUGCUCUGACAUGAUUGCACUAUUGUCCUUUGAAUGUUUUUAUGGUUUUGUUCAGUACGUAAGAACUGUUAAUUUAAUUGCACAAAGUUAUUGUUUCAGUUAGUGGCUGUGCUCCCUUAGUACAUGUAUUUAUUUGAAAAGGAAAGGUUUUUCAUAUUUGUCCUCAUAAUCUGUAACUGAAUUAUUUCUAUUCAGUUGAUGUGGAAGCAUUGUUUUAUAUUGGGUUUUUUGACCCUUUUUAAUUGUAAUGUAGUACACAUUUCUUAGGCUAUCAUUUCUGUGAGACACUCAUAAAAAUAUUUUGAUCACAUAAGUUCUUGUAACCACUUUGUGCCUGUUUAGCAUAUAUUUGUCUUGAUAAGACAAGCUGCAGCUUCGUAGUACAGUUAUGGCCUUAUAUGCCUUAAGUAUUUUUCUGUAUAAGUAACUACUUUUGUAUUGACUACAAAAUCCUCUAUUAUUUUAGGGAAAAAAUUACAGUUAUAAAUCUCUAUGACAUGUUAAAAUGUACUUCAAGGAAAAUAUCUAUGGGCCACUCCUGCAAGGACCGUCAUGUAGAUGUGCCUACAUGUAGAUCCCCAAAUGUGCAUACAUGUAGAUCCCCAAAUAAAGUAAUAGGUUCUGUGCUAGUGCAAGCAAUCCAUAUAUAAAUCCUUUUAAAGUGGUUUUCUUUUUUUCCUCAAUCCACUGCUCUACAACAAUGCUAGGCAAUGUUUUAGGGAAAAACACUACAGUUAAAGAUCCCUAAUUCUUAAACCAAAGGGACAAAUAUAUUCAUAUAGUCAAGGCACUUCAUUGUAUUUAAAAGAAACAUAUUUCCAAGAUGUUUCUGGCUGUUUUAGAUAAUUAUAAAAAUGAAUCAAUAUUUCAAGUGUAGUUCAAAUGCCCUUUACCACUACCUCUGCUAAACUUGAUAUGGCGUGUAAUGCUAUACCUCUGACCCUGUCUGGGCUACUUAUGUGUUAGAGAAGCUUUUUACAGGGCCGGUUAUUUUAUUACUUUUCUUCCACUAUAUUACUGUGAGUCCUAAUCCUUUCUUAUUGAUAUCCUUAGGACUGGUAAUAUCUGUAUUCACCGUUAUUAAUUUUUUGAGAGAAGUUGAUAUGUGAAAUGUAUAUGCGAAUGCGUUACUGAGUUUGUACAAAGAGGUCCUUUUUCUAGAGUUUGUACUCCUUCAGUUAUGGCUCCAGAUAGCUGGACUGAUAGGAAAUUAGUCAUUAAGUGUCUGAGUAACAAACAAAACCAAUUUGUGAAGAUUUCCCACUGACCAUGAAGUUAAGUAUGCAAAAUAAAAGUGUGUUUUCAUACUAGUAUGAAGAGGAAGAAAUUGUGCCCAUUGCAUGAUCAUCUUUUAAUAAAAGUCUGUAUAUUAUAUAAAUAAGACUCUAAACAGUGAAAUGUUUCUUUAAAUUUUAUACUGUUUACAAAUAAAACUGGUGUUCAUGCAGUUUGCUCCUCCUUAAAUCUACUGAUCACUGCAUUUACUGUAAUUUUAUAUACAUAGUUGUUUAAAAACUACAUCUUUCCUGUAUUACAAAUUGCUGUAUAAUAAAAUGCACUUCAAUAGC